rfam:Bombyx mori DNA, contig: Bm_scaf12_contig9957, strain: p50T/Dazao, build 2, whole genome shotgun sequence.
UUAACUUCAAUUUGCAUGGAGUGGGAACGUUUACCUACGUUUGCCGCUAGGGGCGCUGUUCCAACUACAUACAAAUUUGAGUUA